rnacentral:lncRNA from 1 species
CUCGGUUGGAACAGGUUUGAUGACCAACUGCCAUUAUCGAGCAGCAUAACCAAUUUACUUGUCAAAUGUUUGAACUUACGAGAUACAUGGUUAACAAAACCACCAGUUCUAACUAUUAUCCCCCCCCUCCUUGUCCAAAGAUCAACAGCGGCUGGAAAGCUCUGAUCCGGUCUCUAAACUUGCUAAAAUUGGGGACAAGACCAAAAAGGCUCUUACGGCAAUUAACAAACCUAAAACAGAAACAAAUUAAACAGCUUGCAGCACAAUUGUCUGUUGAACAGCAGCUCUACUCUAAAGAAAUUACUGAGGCUUGUGUUUGCUCCGAUCAAGCCAGAAGAGCUGUAAGAGAUUGAGCUUUAUAUAUUUGUUGGUUCCUUCUGAAUACCCUUUUCUGUGUUGAUUCUUUUUAGGAAGCAUUCCAAAGUUUGGCUUCAGAUCCUGGAUUGCAUUAAAUGCUACCUGGCCUGUGCACCUUUAUCGCUGAAGGCGUUCGAGUUAAUGUUGUUCAAAACAAGUUGGCACCUGUUAAAGCACUGCUUUCCAAUCAAACGCUUUACCUUUAAAAAGAACUUCACGAAUGAGUUCCUGCUGUCACGUCUUGCAUGGACAGCAAAAAAUUUGUCUUUGGCAAGAAGUGGAUAAUCAUUGGGCUUUGAGAGAUUCUCUUCACGCCUGAUUUGCAAAAAUUACCCCACAACGACGAAUAAUUGCAAGACUCGUGUCGCGGUCGUUCUGUUGAGCGCUGGGCAACGACAAAAUGCCAUUGGCGUCAUUUUACCACGCCCUCGUUGGAUCAUCCAAAUUGGGAACGGAAUUGAUCAAAGCCUUCAUUAUUCCGAAAAUACGAACGAUAUAGGUGGACGCAUCGAACUUUACUUGGAUGGAACAGGGCAGGCCAAUGCCGAUCGGAUAGCAGCCUCCCACAUCACGCAAUUGACGAUCUCAUGAAAGUGACGCGCCAAUCGCCUGAUAACAUUGACGAUUACCGUCAGGAGUUCGGGUAACUUGGGCCGGCUCUUCACGGCGCCGUAAAUAGAGCCCGAUCUCAGAACACAACUCCGGCGGCGUCGUCUACUGGCAUUUCAUCAGCUGCAUGUAAGGAUUUUGUGACUCAUUCCUAGGGUGGUGAUAUCAGGGUCAGGCCUAAUAAUGGAAAUAAGUUAAACAACUUGCUGGCCCUUAAAAUCGUCAUCGAAAAGCGAAUUGAAAGUUUUUUUUCAAGAUCACUGUUGUAAUUUUCUAAUCCAAAUGUGCUAGCCGACAACCUCCGAUCGCUGCGUCAUACAGUUUUCGUCGACGAUUUGGAUGUCACUUUGUCAGAAGAAGAGGAUGUGAAUCAGGACUACUUGUCAAAAUUUUUGGCGAGGAUCUCUGCACUGACGUCUUAAAAACUACUAUUUCAUGCUUAACGGACCCUCUACUUAAUCGCGACCUUGUUUUAAUGUUACUCGAUUUCGUCUUUUUGCAAAUCCUCCCAAUAUGUGCUUUCCAACAUAUGUGUUGUUUGUCGAAGCUUGUGUACUGAAAUCUUGAAUUGAACUCAAUGUUUCGAAACGUUAGUUGACAUGCCGCUGCAAGAUUUCGGUUAGGGGAAAAACAUUCAUUCUAAACUGAAUGAAAGCAGACCUGAAAAAUUCAGAAGCACACGGUUCAACCUCGCCAGCAUGAUAUAUUACUUUUAAUUCGGAUAAACGCCUGUGUAACCGACGAGAAAUACAAUUCUAAAAUCGUAUUUUGCCGCUUCUAAAAAAAUACUUAAUACACUAAAAAUACUAAAUUGCUGUCCCAUUUUUCCCAAACAGCGUCUAAAUGCCAUA